CUAAAAGUGGAUCGCUUGGAUUCAGGCCUAGCUUUGUUACAAGCAAGGGCGGGAGCAUAUCGUUUCACUUCUCUGGGCCUCAGUUUCCCCUUUUGUUAAGAGAUGAUGUCUUGCUACAUUGUCCAGGCUGGACUUCAACUUCUGGGCUCAAGCAGUUCUCCUGCCUUAGCUUCCUGAGCAGCUAGUACUACAGGCACGAGCAACCAUGCCCAGAUGGUGAGCUGGAGGUGCUGAGAGCUUCAACAACGCACCCAAGUCAGAUGGGAAGUCAAAUGCUUGGCCACCCUCAAACUCUCUGUUUUUACUCUGCAAGAAACUUCCCAACAGACAGUUCGACAGCCUCCCAAAUGCCAAUGGGCAUGAAAUAUGGUUUUCUCCCAAGUCCCU
rnacentral:lncRNA from 1 species